rnacentral:rRNA from 1 species
AUGCAACAAACAAAUAAAUCACACGGCGGCAACAAGAAACAUAGAAGGCGUCUAGAGCGUCGGUCUCGGGGUGUUACAGAUGCUUAUGUGAAAAAGCUUCGACCUGAUAAGCUCGAAUCCAAAUCGGAGAAAUGCGUCUUCAUAGGAUACCCAAAGGAGACUGUUGGGUACACCUUCUAUCACAGAUCCGAAGGCAAGAUAUUCGUUGCUAAGAAUGGAUCCUUUCUAGAGAAGGAGUUUCUCUCGAAAGAAGUGAGUGGGAGGAAAGUAGAACUUGAUGAGGUAAUUGUACCUUCUCCUGAAUUGGAAAGUAGUUCAUCACAUAAAUCAGUUCUAGUGAUGCCUACACCAAUUAGUGAGGAAGUUAAUAAUGAUGAUCAUGAAACUUCGGAUCAAGUUACUACUGAACCUAGUAGGUCAACCAGAGUACGUUCCACACCAGAGUGGUGCGGCAAUCCUGUUCUGGAAGUCAUGUUACUAGACCAUGACGAACCUACGAACUAUGAGGAAGCGAUGAUGAGCCCAGAUUCCGUGAAAUGGCUUGAGGCCAUGAAAUCUGAGAUGGCAUCCAUGUAUGAGAACAAAGUGUGGACUUUGGUUGACUUGCCCGAUGAUCGGCAAGCCAUAAGAGAAUAA